rnacentral:lncRNA from 1 species
UCAUCUUCAUCGAAUUCGUCCUCGUCGUCUUCCAUAUCCUCAUCUGUGCUGAUAUCAUCCAGGGGCGUAGACUUUUUGCAGCCCGAACUACAUCACUAGGACACAGAGGAAUAAUUCCUGCAGUCUGAAUGAAAGUGCUGAACUGCUCCUGCAGCAUCCUAAUUUAUGAUGAUGUUUCCUCGUCCUUCUUCUGCGCCCUCUCUCUUUGUUCAGCAAGCUCUUCAGUGAGUUUGGAAAUCGUAUUUUCUAGUCUUUCAAUGGCUUCUUUAUCAACUGAAGAGUUAGAGUAUGUAGGGCCG